rnacentral:rRNA from 1 species
UACGAAGGGGCUAGGCGUUGUUCGGAAUUACGUGGGCGUAAAGCGUGCGCAGGCGGCUUCUCAAGUCAGGGUGAAAGGCCCAGAGCUCAACUCUGGAAUUGCCUUUGAGACUGAGUGGCUUGAGUACGAGAGAGGUGAGUGGAAUUCCCGGUGUAGCGGUGAAAUGCGCAGAUAUCGGGAAGAACACCCGUGGCGAAGGCGGCUACUCUGGACCACAACUGACGCUGAGGCGCGAAAGCGUGGGGAGCAAACAGG